rnacentral:lncRNA from 1 species
CCGGGUGGUAACUGACAAGGUGGAAGUUAAAAUACUCUAAGUUCAUAGUGCUCUCCACUCUUGUACAGUCAUAACUUCUCUUUUUAUACCUUAAUCCUAGUAUCCUUCAAAAUUCUUGUUUCAUACUUACUAAUGAAUCCCUCAGCACCAAUGAUUCCCUUCCUCCUCUGAAAUACUUAUUUCGAUAGCUAUUAAUUUUUGCAUUUAUCAACUCUACCUGUUAUGUCAUAUAAUCUUCCCAGCUACUAGACUACACAAAAUUUUUGAGGUUGCUAAGUAUUACAUAAUUUGUAUCCUCUUGGUUUGGUAGGCCAUUACUUCUAUCUUGUCUUUGUGAUUGCCUGAAACACCUUCAUUUUUGGCAUUGUUAUCUUCUGUAACAGCAUCACUUACAUCAAGAUCAAUCUGCCAUUUUAAGUACUCUUGGUAGCAAAGUGAGUCAAUGUUCUUUGCUCUUAGUCAAUGAAUGAUUUUGUAAACUACAAUAGGUUAAUCUGUUGCAAGUACUCUUGGGAGCAAAGUGAGUCAAUGUUCUUUGCCCUUAGUCAAUGAAUGAUUUUGUAAACUACAAUAGGUUAAUCUGUUGCUCUAACUAGAAUUUGAAUCAAACGCAGGGAUAAGAAUAAAGUGGUUGGAGCUGAUACAUCCCAAGUCAACAUCUUCAAAAGACUUGGCAUUCAUUUCUUUUCUUUUUUGUUUCCUCAUUUUUUUUAUUGGUACAUUUUAGGUAUAGAGUACAGUUACAUUCAUCAUUGGGAUCUUGUACCUUUACAUGACAGGAGCUAAUGGUGAUCAUCUGAAUUUCUACAUCAUUCCAAUGCAAGACACACCUG